rnacentral:rRNA from 1 species
AGCGCAGGCGGUUUCUCAAGUCUGAUGUGAAAGCCUUCGGCUCAACCGAAGAAGUGCAUCGGAAACUGGGAAACUUGAGUGCAGAAGAGGACAGUGGAACUCCAUGUGUAGCGGUGAAAUGCGUAGAUAUAUGGAAGAACACCAGUGGCGAAGGCGGCUGUCUGGUCUGUAACUGACGCUGAGGCUCGAAAGCAUGGGUAGCAAACA